rnacentral:rRNA from 1 species
UGCCUAAUACAUGCAAGUCGAACGAACUCUGGUAUUGAUUGGUGCUUGCAUCAUGAUUUACAUUUGAGUGAGUGGCGAACUGGUGAGUAACACGUGGGAAACCUGCCCAGAAGCGGGGGAUAACACCUGGAAACAGAUGCUAAUACCGCAUAACAACUUGGACCGCAUGGUCCGAGCUUGAAAGAUGGCUUCGGCUAUCACUUUUGGAUGGUCCCGCGGCGUAUUAGCUAGAUGGUGGGGUAACGGCUCACCAUGGCAAUGAUACGUAGCCGACCUGAGAGGGUAAUCGGCCACAUUGGGACUGAGACACGGCCCAAACUCCUACGGGAGGCAGCAGUAGGGAAUCUUCCACAAUGGACGAAAGUCUGAUGGAGCAACGCCGCGUGAGUGAAGAAGGGUUUCGGCUCGUAAAACUCUGUUGUUAAAGAAGAACAUAUCUGAGAGUAACUGUUCAGGUAUUGACGGUAUUUAACCAGAAAGCCACGGCUAACUACGUGCCAGCAGCCGCGGUAAUACGUAGGUGGCAAGCGUUGUCCGGAUUUAUUGGGCGUAAAGCGAGCGCAGGCGGUUUUUUAAGUCUGAUGUGAAAGCCUUCGGCUCAACCGAAGAAGUGCAUCGGAAACUGGGAAACCCCGAGUGCAGAAGAGGACAGUGGAACUCCAUGUGUAGCGGUGAAAUGCGUAGAUAUAUGGAAGAACACCACCUGUCGAAGGCGGCUGUCUGGUCUGUAACUGACGCUGAUGCUCGAAAGUAUCCGGCCGCCAUACACGCAUGAGAUACCCUGGUGGUCCAUCACCGUCCACGAUGAAUGCUAAGUGUUGGAUGGGUGUCGCCCUUCAUGCUGCAGCUAACGCAUUAAGCAUUUCCGCCUGGGGAGU